rnacentral:rRNA from 1 species
GUCUUUUUGAUUUUAAUUUAAAGUCUAGCCUGCCCMCUGAUUAUUUAAAGGGCUGCAGUAUUUUGACUGUACAAAGGUAGCAUAAUCAAUAGUUUCUUAAUUAGAAGCUGGAAUGAAUGGUUGGAUAAGAAAAUUACUGUCUCAAAUUUAAUUUUAUAAAAUUUUAUUUUUAAGUUAAAAAGCUUAAAUAGUUUUAAUAGACGAGAAGACCCUAUAGAGUUUAAUAAUUUAUUAUUUUUUUAAAUUUUUAGUUAUAAUUUUUUAUUAAAUAAUAAAUUAUUUGGUUGGGGUGAUUUAAAAAUUUAAAUAACUUUUUUUUAUAUAUACCAUAUAUUUAUGAAUAAAUGAUCCAUUAUUAUGAUUAAAAGAUUAAAUUACCUUAGGGAUAACAGCGUAAUUUUUUCUAAAAGUUCUUAUUGAAGAAAAAGAUUGCGACCUCGAUGUUGGAUUAAAGUUAAUUUUUGGUGUAGAAGCUAAAUAAUUAAGUCUGUUCGACUUUWAAAACUUUACA